UCCAGAAUGACUCCUUCAACUCCAGUUGCAGACUGGAUUCCCUCAGGCCUAAGAAUAAUGAAACAGCCACUGGUGUGGAUGCCAUAUGUGCCUACUACCAUGACCCUGCACAUCCUGGGAUGGACAUCAAAGAGCUGUACACAGAGCUGAGAAAUCUAACUCAGGGAAUCACCCAUCUGGGUAACUACUCACUGGACAAGGACAGUCUCUAUGUCAAUGGUUAUAAUGAACCUGGUCCUGAAGAAC